rnacentral:misc_RNA from 1 species
GGAUUUACUUAAGAAAAUAAAGAUGAUUGUUAUGACAUAGAAUUAUAAAAGUAAUCUUAGCUUUACAGCUAACCUUUGGGACAUAUAUUCAAUUAUUAUACAAGUUGCCCAACAACAGAUCUUUUUUCAUUUAAUGUUUAUGCAUUUAGUUUGUUUUUUGUAAUAAUGAUUGUGAUAAGAUAGGGGACCUGUAAACGCCUUAAGUUCAUAAGCUGAAAAUUUUAGAGCUUCUCUUAUCUAAGUUUUCUCCUUUCUAAAAUCUUUAUGUUAUCAAUAGAAGUUUAAGGUGUUAUUCCAAUCUUUUUAUAUUAAAAUUUCUUGAAAAUUUUAAAGGUAUAUGCUCUUCUUUUGCCCCUUAUAGAGGAUUCUAUGAAUAAAGAACCUUCAAAUUUUAAUUUUACAUCUCUUUUAUCAUUCUAUUUUAUUUUACUAUUUUCUUUUAUAUUUUAUCUUAUCCUCUUCAACAGUAGUAACUAUGUUUGGAAGUAGUUAUGGUAUUGGUCAGCCAAACUUUGAGCAUUGGUAAGCCGUACAACCAUUUAGAGUAAGGGCAGGUGGUCCUAUAACAAGUUUCAUCCGUAAAUAGGUUGUGUUUUGUAAAACUACUCAUCAAGCUAUUUGAAUUAGAGAAUUGUGGAUUCAUUGUUAAGAAACCUUAGUAUGAGAGAUCAUUCCCCUUAUUCCUCCUCCCUUUCUAGUCUAAAUGAAAAAGAAUUUGAUUUACAAGAAUCUAAUAUU